UACAAUAGGUUUCGCACUCAGGGGCGGUAGCUGCAUCUCCAUUGAGGUCGUAAGACGGGGGAGGUGUUAUCAUGGAAGUGAAGGAUGCUUUAACGCUGAUGCUCUCAUUCGGCUUAUUUCUCAUCACUUUACUUUCCUACUUGAAAAAGAAGUAGACCUCCCUUGAGUCUUAGCGGAUGAAGGAGGUCUAUCACGUAAUUUAUGCAGCCGACCGCGCCUUGAGGGGCGAUCUAUUGUCAGGACCGCUGGUGCUACCCACACUCGCG
rnacentral:sRNA from 1 species